rnacentral:rRNA from 1 species
GUGGGGAAUCUUCCGCAAUGGACGAAAGUCUGACGGAGCAACGCCGCGUGAGUGAAGAAGGUUUUCGGAUCGUAAAGCUCUUUCGUUAGGGACGAACGUGCUCUUUGUAAAUAAUGAGGAGUAAUGACGGUACCUAAAUAAGAAGCCACGGCUAACUACGUGCCAGCAGCCGCGGUAAUACGUAGGUGGCAAGCGUUGUCCGGAAUUAUUGGGCGUAAAGCGCGCGCAGGCGGGAUAUCAAGUCUGUCUUAAAAGUGCGAGGCUCAACCUCGUGAGGGGACAGAAACUGGUAUUCUUGAGUGUCGGAGAGGAAAGUGGAAUUCCAAGUGUAGCGGUGAAAUGCGUAGAGAUUUGGAAGAACACCAGUGGCGAAGGCGACUUUCUGGACGAUGUCUGACGCUGAGGCGCGAAAGCUAGGGGAGCGAACGGGAUUAGAAACCCGGGUAGUCC